GUGUAGCGCAGCCUGGUAGCGCACCUCGUUCGGGACGAGGGGGUCGCAGGUUCAAAUCCUGCCACUCCGACCA
rnacentral:tRNA from 1 species